rnacentral:lncRNA from 1 species
AGGGAGGAGACUUUGUGCUCUGGGGGUAGCUGGUGCAAGCCAGACAUGGCCUGGGGCUUGGCUGUUGGGGUCACCCAAAUGUUCUGUCCUUUGAAACAAGAGAACAGCAGCAGCCUGAAAACUCUCUCACUUUCUGGCUUUGCAAUCUGAGCACUCGCUUCCAGGCCUAUGCUGGGAGAAGAACCCAAACAGGGAAGGGUCUUAAUCCCUGACCUCUAGGAGCAAUGGGCCUUGGUUCCAGGUUGAUCUGCCUCACUGGGCUGUACAUGAGGAAGCUGGCUAUUUCAACAAAGCUUGCCUCUCCCAGACAAAAAAAUGAAAGAAGAGAUAAGAGGGUGCUGUGAAACAGUUAGGCUUCUCCCACCAUGGCCACCAUUGGACUCUUGAAAGGGGAUCUCUGGGUAUUUAGAAUACAUAACAUAUAUUUUACUUUUCACCACCAGAACCAGAAGGUAGCUUCAUUCUCAGGGACCCUGGCCUCAGGGCACUCCAUCU